rfam:Gossypium hirsutum cultivar TM-1 chromosome 12, whole genome shotgun sequence
UAUUAAAAAUUGUAUCCAUUUCUACCAUUAAAAACUGGACUGACUGAUUGAAUAAUCAGACAAUGCUACGUAGUAUGCCAUGCAUACCUCCUGUUGAUGUAUAGACACUAGUUUUUAAUAAUAAAACUUGAUAGAAUUUUUAAUA